UACGUAGGUGGCAAGCGUUGUCCGGAAUUACUGGGUGUAAAGCGCGUGUAGGCGGCAGACCAAGUCGGCGGUGAAAGCGCCCGGCUCAACUGGGCGAGGCCCGUGGAAACUGGUCAGCUGGAGGACGGUAGAGGCGAGUGGAAUUCCCGGUGUAGUGGUGAAAUGCGUAGAGAUCGGGAGGAACACCUGUGGCGAAGGCAGCCCCCUGGGUCAAGAUUG
rnacentral:rRNA from 1 species